CGGGUGCGUUAAUGGGCGUCGAGCGGCGGACGGGUGAGUAAUGCCUAGGAAAUUGCCUUGAUGUGGGGGAUAACCAUUGGAAACGAUGGCUAAUACCGCAUAAUGCCUACGGGCCAAAGAGGGGGACCUUCGGGCCUCUCGCGUCAAGAUAUGCCUAGGUGGGAUUAGCUAGUUGGUGAGGUAAUGGCUCACCAAGGCGACGAUCCCUAGCUGGUCUGAGAGGAUGAUCAGCCACACUGGAACUGAGACACGGUCCAGACUCCUACGGGAGGCAGCAGUGGGGAAUAUUGCACAAUGGGCGAAAGCCUGAUGCAGCCAUGCCGCGUGUAUGAAGAAGGCCUUCGGGUUGUAAAGUACUUUCAGUUGUGAGGAAGGGGGUAGCGUUAAUAGCGCURUCUCUUGACGUUAGCAACAGAAGAAGCACCGGCUAACUCCGUGCCAGCAGCCGCGGUAAUACGGAGGGUGCGAGCGUUAAUCGGAAUUACUGGGCGUAAAGCGCAUGCAGGUGGUUCAUUAAGUCAGAUGUGAAAGCCCGGGGCUCAACCUCGGAACUGCAUUUGAAACUGGUGAACUAGAGUACUGUA
rnacentral:rRNA from 1 species